AAUAUAUGGUGGAUAUGUGAAGGAUAGAC
rnacentral:piRNA from 1 species